rnacentral:lncRNA from 1 species
GGAGGGAAAUCAACUGGAACCUGUCAAUUUGAGCUCUGUUCUGAUGGUGAAGAUUUACUCAGCCAAGUAGCUGGUUUUCUUUUACAGCUUUCAUGGGUCACAGCUGUACCUGGCCCUGUGAAUAGCCAGUGGGGCUUGGCAGAACCCCCUGUCUGAUCAGGAGGAAAAAAUCCUGAACACAUUAAGGAUUUUAACUAUCCCAGACAUUUCAUUUUACCUACACAAACAAAUUCUCCAUUUUUGUAAAAGCCUUAGCUUUUCAUAGCAGUUUCCAGUGGCUCCUGUGUUGGGAAUCAUUCCUGGCUUUCUCAGUAGCCCUUGAACAGAGAGAGUACACAACCCUCUCAGCAGGAGUGGCCACGGCAGGGUCUCCACUGUCAUCUUUCCAGGAACCUGCUGCUGCAACAACAACCUGAAUUUAUACUUCAACACAAACUUUACAAUGUCGUUCCCAGCAUCCAGAAGUCUGCAUCAAUCAGGAGAAGUGAUUUACAAAUAGAUUAAGAAAAUAAUUGAGCUGUAUUGACCAGAGACAAUUCAGGUUCCGAGGCGGUGGGAGGAGGAAUGUAGAUACUGCAUGGGAGUGGAUAGACUUGUCUAUAACUGAGAUAAUGCCACUGAAAUGACAUGCCACCUCUCUGGGAUUUAAAAAGUGUUACAUUGGAAGGCAUCCUCCUUGCUCUAAGUGGC